rnacentral:piRNA from 1 species
UUGUGGCUUAGGAACGCCUUUAAGUGGUU